AUUCAGAUGUCCCAGUAGCAGAUCCAGACCAGAGCAUGUGGGAGUCCUGUAACUGACGACCAGAUGGUGAAGCUGCUGACCCACAACCAGCUUUGAUCAGGAGCUCCGAUGUCAAGAAACAGAUUUCAGAAUGAGAAUCAAUUUUAUUAAAAUAUAAACGUUCAGGUAUUCAUACUGAAAGAGUUUUGAGAGCUAUCAGGCGGUUUUCAGUUUGUGAUUCAUCUUCUUGAGGUUUUCUAGAAAGAUCUGCUGCUCUUCAAGGAAGUCUUUAUCCUGCAGAAAGACAAAAGCCACGAAAAUAAACAUUUGAUCUGUGUGCUACUUGAUGUGUAAAACAUGUCUAAUAAAAAGUCAAACUAA